rnacentral:rRNA from 1 species
UGGGGAAUAUUGCACAAUGGGGGAAACCCUGAUGCAGCGACGCCGCGUGAACGAAGAAGGUAUUCGUAUCGUAAAGUUCUGUCCUAUGGGAAGAUAAUGACAGUACCAUAGAAGAAAGCUCCGGCUAAAUACGUGCCAGCAGCCGCGGUAAUACGUAUGGAGCGAGCGUUGUCCGGAAUUAUUGGGCGUAAAGGGUACGCAGGCGGUUUAAUAAGUCGAAUGUUAAAGAUCGGGGCUCAACCCCGUAAAGCAUUGGAAACUGAUAAACUUGAGUAGUGGAGAGGAAAGUGGAAUUCCUAGUGUAGUGGUGAAAUACGUAGAUAUUAGGAGGAAUACCAGUAGCGAAGGCGACUUUCUGGACACAAACUGACGCUGAGGUAUGAAAGCGUGGGGAGCAAACAGG